GUUGGGAAAAAAAUAAAAAAAAAGCUGUCUUACAAUUGAUUUGGAAACCACAAUCCCUUUAUUUUUUCUUUGAAUAAUAAACCUCAUGUACACACAACUGAGACAAUAGUCUGCAUUUUGACCAAAUUCAGAACACUUGGUCCAGGGGGUUGAGCAAGGAGCUGGGAGAGAGAAACCCCUUUUGCUCAGUCAAAAGUUAAGUUCUCUCUAUAUCUCCAAUACACUUGGGAUUAGUUUCCCUAACACAUUACUCUUCUUAAAAAAGAAAUCACAAGCCAGAAAGGAAUAGUAUUCUCUCUAGAAAAGAGGCUUUUCCCUUCAUUUCUCUCCAAAAAAGAGUUGCAGUGGAGGAAGAAAUGAGAAUGAAAAACAGAGGAAGACACAAGAUUUACGCACUGACAGACACAUUUUGGACCAAGCAAUUGCCAGAUGACCCUGAUUGCCUUGCCAGCUGCUGCAGCUAAACUGCUUUACAUUGUCAUGGAAUGAAGAAGAGGAGCUGAAGUUCCAAAGCUGAUUUAGUAAGAAAUGGACAGUUUUAAUGACAGAGACUAUUAUCCAGCUAGUGAAUGAAAAUGGUGGAGACAUGAUAUCUGUUGUUGUCCUAUGAAUGUGAAAGCACUAUGUUCAUGAAACAGGUCCUCAUAGUCCAUCUGACUCCAGUAUUGAUCUAAAUAUUAUAGAAAAGAGGCCAGAAUAUUUAGUGCCUUCCAUUUACUCUUCUGCUAAGAGUAUCAAAUGUUGUUGGGUAAUGAUUCAAAAGGCAAGGCUGAGCAUAAAGUUCACCUUUAACUCCUGAGUGGAGGGAAACCAAAGAUUCUGCACUGGGAAGUUUUCUUCCUGUUCUCCAU
rnacentral:lncRNA from 1 species